AACCAACCUGUGCGUUUAUUUUUGUAAACCUUUUUUUUUUUUCCAUUAAUGGGACAAAAAUAUCCAAACGUGGGCAAACGUGUAGGCUUUGAUUCAAAUCUGUGAGAAAGAGGCAAAUGUUUUUGCAAUUACAUUGAGCUUUGUGUGUGAAAUGUGAGUGGGUGUUGGCAUUCUGCAAAAUCCGUUUCAGUCCCACACAAGACUUUGGCUAAAAUACAGCCCCUUUUCAUUGAGCGUUUUAGAACGUCCAGGACAGCUGUAACGACUGUAUUUAUUCAUAGAUUAUUUGUGCAUGUACGUAUAUACAUAUUUGUUUUAUUUUUAAACGAGUCUUGUAAAAAAAAAAAAGAAUAUCCAUCAAUCAAUUAUGGUGCUUGCUUCCUGCCAACCAUAUGCCACAGAAGAAAACGUGUUCCAGACAUUUACUGAAAUAUCUACAAGAGCGAAUAACAUCCAGCGGGAUGAUAAUAAAUUAAGAAUAUAGAAGCUUUGAAGUCAGCAGAACCUUUCCGUUUUGAUGGAUGUUUCUGUGCGGGGGCAGAGACAGAAGGAGCCAACAUGGCGCGCUUACACUGCCGUCGAACAAGGCCUGCGCGUGAACACACAUGCACAUGUAUUCAGCUGAAAGCAUCUUUGUCCGUUUUUAGUUCUGAUCGUGUAUUGUAAUCUUCUUUUGAAUAUGUUAAACAUUUGCUGUUCAUCGCAACGUGUAAUAAACCCUUUGCAUUUUAUUUAAAUGUAUAAUGUGUCAUUGUGCUUUUAAAUGACUGUGUUUAUUUUCAGUGUACAUCAGGGAAACACAAUCUUAUAAAGACACUUUAUUUGGGAAGCAACCCUAAAUUACUUGUAACCUACCAACAAAAUAUUAUUAUUAUUAUUAUUAUUAUUAUUAUUAUUAUUAUUAUUAUUAUUAUUAUUAUUAUGCGGACACCAUGUUAAAAUCUCAGAACUCAUAUUAAAACAUAAACAUUUUUUUUUAAAUUUUAUGAUUUAUUUGUCAGAAUAGAGCAGCAUGGAAUGAAUGACAAUGAAACAGAAAUCUGAAUGCUCCAUAUCAAACAUUUUACUGGUUAUUAUUUCUGAAUUGUGUGUUGUCUUUGAUCUUAUUGCAUUGUUCAAACACCAUUAAAAACGUUUCUCUUUGACAUGUA